rnacentral:rRNA from 1 species
AUGAACGCUGGCGGCGUGCCUAAUACAUGCAAGUCGAGCGAACAGACGAGGAGCUUGCUCCUCUGACGUUAGCGGCGGACGGGUGAGUAACACGUGGAUAACCUACCUAUAAGACUGGGAUAACUUCGGGAAACCGGAGCUAAUACCGGAUAAUAUAUUGAACCGCAUGGUUCAAUAGUGAAAGACGGUUUUGCUGUCACUUAUAGAUGGAUCCGCGCCGCAUUAGCUAGUUGGUAAGGUAACGGCUUACCAAGGCAACGAUGCGUAGCCGACCUGAGAGGGUGAUCGGCCACACUGGAACUGAGACACGGUCCAGACUCCUACGGGAGGCAGCAGUAGGGAAACUUCCGCAAUGGGCGAAAGCCUGACGGAGCAACGCCGCGUGAGUGAUGAAGGUCUUCGGAUCGUAAAACUCUGUUAUUAGGGAAGAACAAAUGUGUAAGUAACUAUGCACGUCUUGACGGUACCUAAUCAGAAAGCCACGGCUAACUACGUG